CUUCACCGAACCGAGCCACAACGGCUCUUCACGGUCCUGCCCGUAGGUGGCGAGCAGAGCCUGCGCCUC
rfam:Amycolatopsis orientalis HCCB10007, complete genome.